UACGUAGGGGGCUAGCGUUGUCCGGAAUCAUUGGGCGUAAAGAGCUCGUAGGCGGUUUGUUGCGUCGGCCGUGAAAACCUGCAGCUUAACUGUGGGCCUGCGGCCGAUACGGGCAGACUUGAGUUCGGUAGGGGAGACUGGAAUUCCUGGUGUAGCGGUGAAAUGCGCAGAUAUCAGGAGGAACACCGAUGGCGAAGGCAGAUCUCUGGGCCGUAACUGACGCUGAGGAGCGAAAGCGUGGGGAGCGAACAGG
rnacentral:rRNA from 1 species